UUUUCAGGCCUUGUGAGUGUUCUACAGGGAGUGGAAUUGAACUUGGAGUUGAAAUUGGACUUUGGGGUGAAGAUGAAUUUGGCAAUUGACAUUAUGAAUCACAAAGAUGUGGAUGAGUACAAACUAUUGGUUGCAUUGGAGAAUGGAUUCGAGUUGGAUGAUCAACUGAAAAUGGAUUUUGAAUCGCGAAGUAGAGCAGUGUUAAUGCUAAUAAGGAAGGAAAGCAGCGCCACGGAAACUAAGUUACCCGCUCAAGAAUGUGAUUCAAGUGAAAAAUGUUCAUGUUCAUGUGACUGCCUACUAGAUGUCCUUGGGUACUUAUGGAGAUUAAUCAGGAUUUAGAAUGGUGACAUUGCAUUAAUCAUGAUCAUGAUCUCAGGAAUAUCUUCUGUAAUGGCUUUAAUUUUGCAAGAGAAGUUGAAAAAACAAAGAGAAGACAAGGCAACUCCGGUACCUAGUAGCUUGAAGAUGAGAAGGUACCUUACAAAUCAAGGAGCAGAGAUUCACCUUCAAAGGAAGAAGCAGGGGCAUUUUGAUUAGUGAGACUACUGGUUUUCUCAAGUUUCCAUAAGAUCAAAGAAAUCAAGCUCAACUCUAUGUAUUUGGUUGUUUGAGGAUUGUUUGUUUUUAAGGUAAGAUCACAGAUUUGUCUCUUGUGAAUGAAAAGAAAUGAAAAUGGUACUGAGAGAGUUUUAUUUGUAUCAAUUAAUAGGAUCUUCAGAUACUGAUGAUUAAGAGCUUGUUUGGAAACUAUUUAACA